UAUUGGUAAGAGUGGGCUGACCAAACUAUUUAUAAAUCCAUUGAUGUUAACUGAUCAAUAUUCUGACAUUGGUAAAUCGGGAGUUACUACAGGCAGAGUAGUCAAGUCAUUCAGAGGUAAUUAUGAUUGUGGGACAGGGACUAAAAUUAAACUUGGAGGAAAAACACUUCACUUCAGAAUUGUGAUAAACACUGGAAACCUAAUCAGGCUUACAAUAGUUGAAAUCUUUGAUAGCUGAGGAACAAUAUAUAAGUUUUGACAAUUCAUAUAAGAAUUUGACUUGAAUUGUUGUAAACUUCAACGAGGGAGUCAAAAAAAUACUGUUAAAAUUAAAGGUAAUUUACCUUUACGUUUUGAUCUUUUUUACCUGGCGAGAAUUCAGCUGGUUCACACAGGACAAUAGAUUGAGGUAUUGUUUCAUGGUGAUGAAAUUGUAGAUAUUAGACAACGAUCUAAUAAAACAAUACUAUCUAAUAAAACAAUAACGUUCGUGUAAAACAAAUGAUGACUCCUGUCAACAUGCUUGUACCUCCAGCGAAACAAUUGGAAGGAAUUUAACCUUAAAAUGUGCUUAUAUCAUGUAUUAAACUGCUUUUUAAUCCUUAAGGACUUUAUUUCAAAUGUGCAAAUGGAACAGUUGAAGUGCAAAUUAUAACUUAGAAGUUCAGGAGCCAACUUUGGACAGAGUCAGUACAAACUACUCUGUAACUUUUGACUGAAAUUUAUUUCGACAGUGUACAUACUACCUGGAAUAUACAGAAGUAAUCAACUAGACUGUGGUAUCAUGAAUUUAUAUCAAAUGAUUACACUUCUAUGUACCGUGAUUGGUGGUAUGGCGACACAUCGUCAGAAACAUACAACUUGUAAUGAACAAUUUUCCGACCGUUUAAACAAAUGUAUGGAAACGUUUACACCUUAUGUAGACCAGUAUACAGGGAUCAAACCCAAGGAUCCGUUCUUACAUCAUGUUUUUGUAACACAUGUUUGCAAAAACUACAAGAAAAUGCUUUUGUGCAUACAUGUGCUGCUUACAAACUGUAAAACUGUGGACACUAUGAAAACUGUACAACAUAAACUUGGACAUGAUUGGGUAAUACAAAUCAACCAACUGUGCAAUAUCCAAUCAAAUUCAUCAAAAAAUUUAAGUAAUCAACAAAUGACAACAGCCAAGUCAAGUGUAGAUUUAUAUAACAGUAGGGAUAAGGAUAAAAUACUAAGUGAUUCAAAUACUAUCCAUAAUAGAGAUCAAAAUAAGAUUCUCACAGGGAAAUCAGAACAAAUGACAAAACCUCAUUCGCCUAUGAAUGAAGAUCUGGCUAAAAGUGCCCUUUUCAAUAAAUUAAUGCAUUCCAGCGACAAUGAUGUGGAAAUCAUUACAAUGUUUGUGUUUAGAUCUGCACCUAAGACGACACAACAAAGAAGUUCAUUGCCAAAUAGUUCAAAUGGCGCAGACAAACAAAAACUCGGUUCUGUGCAAAAAUAUCAGCCAUUAAAUCUGUUGGAAUUGUUGAUUUCUUACUGUGGAACUAGCAGCAAAGACGUAAACUCUGUAAAAUACAGGUUUUUGGCGCAGAAUGAAAAUUCUUCUGACAAAAAUGGAACUGUGAGACAUUUUUCUUGGCAAGUGGUUGUAGUAAUAACAGUUACAAAUUACCUGUACAAUGUGCUCAGAUAACAUAAAUAUCAUUAACAAAUGUUCACUUCUCUCUCAUCUUUCUUCAUUCUUUCGCUUUUUUUAUCCUUCAUAUUGUUACAGGGUCAAUUACGGAUUCAAUAUAUUUCUUUUGAAGUGGGGGGUCAGAAUUGACUAUAGUUAUUUAUUAUUUGAGGAAUGGGUUGUUAGAAACUGCAAUAUAAACAAGUCGUUAACCUUGGAUAUAUGUAAUAUUAUAUAAAUUACUGUCAUUUUUCCUUAACUACUUUGCACUUCAUAUUUAUUCUUCUUCCUCUUGUAAAUAUCAGCUUCUGUUACAGAUCUUAGCAAGUCAGGUCUCAUGUACUCAAUAGUCUCAUCCCUCUAGAAAAGUACACCUACCCCCCAAAAAACUUGAUAUAAAUAUAUAUAUUGUUUAUAAUAAAAAAAAGUAUGAAAUAACAUAUCAUUUAAACUUCCAGGGCUAUAAAAAAAUAAAUGUCCACAUAUUGUAGGUGCAUUUUUUUCGUGGAUACCAAUUUUCAUGUAUUGAGAAAAACUUACAUGGGUAUUUGUUUCGUGGAUUUGCCAAAGUCUGUAUACAAGCUUUUUGACAAUGUAUACUUUGCUGAACAUUCAAAUUUGUGGUUUACCUGUAUCCAUGAAAUCCACAAAAAUUGGUAUCCCAUGAAUAAUAAGAAUCAAAAACAUAUUGGCAAUAUAUUUAAACUCUCUUCAUUAAAACAAUUAGUUUUCAACUUUUAUAUUCCUGAUUUUUGCAAAUUGAAUGAAAACAAUAGGGUGAUUCAGGUUUUACUAUGGAACAAACCUACAACUUGUAAGACCGUCAUUUCUAGUUCCAACAUGUCCAGUAAACCAUACAUUUCAGUGUUUUAUGUUUUCAAUCAAACUGGAAGUGAUGGUUCAAUAAUAAAUACCACACCAGUAAAUGACCAACCCUCAGAGAGAGUUAAAUACUAGCACAGAAUUGUCAUGAUUGUAAUUACCUGUAAUUUACCAAUUCAGACCAGUCAUGAGUCACAUGACUGCAUAUCUAAACAUCAGCCAAGCAAAUGCCCCUGAGUAAGAAAUCAUUGAGGGUCUGCUUUUCAGCAAACCUUCAUGUUCAUGUGAUGCAAAUAAUCAUGUGCCAUUUGAACUGAUAAUUGCACAGUAUUUAUUUGAAUUUAAAGAAGAAAGUCAUUCCAAUUGACAAAAAAAUUGACUGAUUGAUUAUGCUUAAUAUCCAGCAACAAAUAUUACACGAUUAUUAAUGUCAAUGACAAAGUAGAUGUAAAUAAGUUAUUAAAACAUCUUACUUUGUGUAGACUGACAUGCGGAGUUGAAUUAAAAUUUUUUUAAAUGUGCUACCUCACAAGGAAACAGUUCUCAGGAAUACAUUCCACACUUCACAGACUAUUUAUUCUGACUCAAAUUUACUUUUAACAAGUCAUUGUUCUUGCUCAUUUAUGAUUUGUGGUUGGUGAAAAAACGGAAAAAACUAAUUUUAAAGUCUUUGGUUUGAUUCAGUCAUGGAUAGAACCCACAAUCGUCUGUACUCAUGCAAACAAGCUACCAGGAGAUACCUGGUCACAACAACAAAAGCAUUUUACAUUUUUUGAAACUUUAUGGUCUAAUUUUAGUCAUUUCUUACAAUAAACCAGAAUUCUUGAGAACAGACGUUCUGAUCAGACCAAUUUCUAAUUUUACUUUACUUUUACUCUGAAUAUAUUUUUCUUAGCAUGUCUACAGAAUAUUAUAUUUAUUGUUUUCUUACAUAAAAAGAUAUAAACUAAUUACUUGCUGAAAAUUUUAUGAAACAAAUAAUAAACCAGAUUUCAGAUAUUCAAACGAAGUUAUAAUGAUUUUUAUCCAAUAACUAAGUAUCAUAUCAAUUAUAAUUAUCAUACAAGAAAAUGCUAAAAAUUGCCUUUUUCAUCAUUAUCUGAACUACCUGGCAACCAGUGCAGCCUCAAACAUUCAUUAUAUUAUCAUGAUUAAAGGUAAUACAAAAAUGCCAUAUUGUACAGACAAUUUUCUGUAAGUUUCAUUACGAUUCAGUCAUUGCUGAGGAGGAAUUGCAAAUACAUAGCACAGAUGGGUGAAAAAAUUGAACAAAUGAAUACUGACCAAUAUAAAUCUCCCUUCAAUAACAGGCAUGACAGGGGGGGUUUUUAAAAGAUUUGAACCCAAUAAUUCACAUGAUGGAUAUUUAUUGAUUAAAAUAUGAACAUUUUCAAUGUUUAUAAAGUAAUUAAUCAUUUAUUUUUUCACCAAUUAAUUUUUUUUGCUGAAUGAACAAUUUUCAUUAUUUAUAAUACAUUUAUUAAUUCUCUUUUCCAACCAAUUAAUAUAUAUUGCUGAACAAACUAUUUCAUUUGUCAAUAAGAUAAUCAAUUAUUUACUUUUUUUACCAAUAAGUCUAUAAUAUUACAUAUUGCAGUCAUAAUUCAUACCAUUUUAAAUGAUGAUAAUGAUAUUUGAAUCCAAUGCAACAAGUUUACCACUGGUUGUCAAGUUUAUUUUAUCCCCUCAUAAAUUUCAAUUAAUAAAAUAUGAAACGUGUAUUUAUAAAAUAUCCCUUCCCAUUUUCUGGUGACAAAUCAUGACCAUCUAAUCAGUACGCAUUGUCAUAUGCUCCCGUUUGGAUAAAUACUUUAUCAAAUAUACAAGAAGCAGGAAGCUGGAAUCCUUUGGGUAAAACAUUUUGUCUAUAAUAUCUGUUAUUGAUUUGUAUGUUGUUAUGGAAAAUUGUUUUUGUUAUCUGUAUCAUCUUUUGAUAAUAAAAUUGUGAUGUAUAA